rnacentral:lncRNA from 1 species
CCACAUACAGUUUUUCCCCAACAGUCUCUCUGAGACACUUCCGUUCUGUAGCAGCAAGAGUUCUCAGCCUCUCCACGUGGAGAAAUGCACAUUCUGCACAAGCCCACACUCUAUAAAGUGGAACACAUGCUUUUCAUGAUGAGCUUUCUCUACGUGGAAUGGCUUACCUGGUAGAGAGGAGGAAGGGAUACACUCAGAAAUGAGUAUGUGGUAAAAACAAAAGAGAGCUCCAAGUCCAACUGACGAAUAAAAAUGGAGGAAAAGACACAUGAGAACAAUGGAAUGCCUUUAGAACAUUUUUAGGCUAUGAUGUACAUUGAAUUCCAACAACAGAGCCUUGUGGGAGGUUUGGCCCAUCUUCAUAGAGCACGCCACAACUUCUGCC